GAUGAACGCUGGCGGCGUGCCUAAUACAUGCAAGUCGAGCGAACAGACGAGGAGCUUGCUCCUCUGACGUUAGCGGCGGACGGGUGAGUAACACGUGGAUAACCUACCUAUAAGACUGGGAUAACUUCGGGAAACCGGAGCUAAUACCGGAUAAUAUAUUGAACCGCAUGGUUCAAUAGUGAAAGACGGUUUUGCUGUCACUUAUAGAUGGAUCCGCGCCGCAUUAGCUAGUUGGUAAGGUAACGGCUUACCAAGGCAACGAUGCGUAGCCGACCUGAGAGGGUGAUCGGCCACACUGGAACUGAGACACGGUCCAGACUCCUACGGGAGGCAGCAGUAGGGAAUCUUCCGCAAUGGGCGAAAGCCUGACGGAGCAACGCCGCGUAAGUGAUGAAGGUCUUCGGAUCGUAAACUCUGUUAUUAGGGAAGAACAAAUGUGUAAGUAACUAUGCACGUCUUGACGGUACCUAAUCAGAAAGCCACGGCUAACUACGUG
rnacentral:rRNA from 1 species